rnacentral:rRNA from 1 species
CGGAGGGUGCAAGCGUUAUCCGGAUUCACUGGGUUUAAAGGGAGCGCAGGCGGAUUUGUUAAGUCAGUGGUGAAAGGACUUAAGUCUUAACUUGGGAACUGCCAUUGAUACUAUAAGUCUUGAAUGUUGUUGAGGUUUGCGGAAUGGGUCAUGUAGCGGUGAAAUAGCAUAGAUAUGACCCGGAACACCUAUUGCGAAGGCAGCAGGCUAAACAAAUAUUGACGCUGAGGCUCGAAAGCGUGGGGAUCAAACAGGAUU